UACGUAGGGGGGCAAGCGUUGUCCGGAAUCAUUGGGCGUAAAGCGCGCGUAGGCGGCCCGGUAAGUCCGCUGUAAAAGUCCAGGGCUCAACCCUGGAAAGCCGGUGGAUACUGUCGGGCUCGAGUCCGGAAGAGGCGAGUGGAAUUCCUGGUGUAGCGGUGAAAUGCGCAGAUAUCAGGAGGAACACCGAUGGCGAAGGCGGCAUCCUGGACCGGGCAUUGACGCUGAGGAGCGAAAGCCAGGGGAGCAAACGGGG
rnacentral:rRNA from 1 species